GGAAGUGAAAGAAAUCGAGGAAAGGAGUAAGAGAGUAAGGAUUGAGGAGGAAAUGAGAGAGAGAUUAAGUGAAAAAGAGAAAGAGAUAUUUCAGUACAAGGAUAGAUUCCUGGAACUGGAGAAGGAGGUGGCAGAGAAGGAGAAGAAAUUGAGGGCCUCGGAGGAGAAGGUGAGGGAAAUGGAAGAGAAGAUGGUGGAGCUACAGAAGGAGGUGGAGGAAGCAGAAAAGGUGAUUGGUGGAGUGAAGGAGAGGACUGUAGAUGCAAUUAAUGGCAUUCAAGUUGAGGGCAUAGAUAAGUGGUCUAAUGGGCUGAAGAUGCCGUGGCCGGUACUGGCUGUGGGUUCAACAGGUGCUAUCGCUGCCGCAGCUGCUGUGGUUUAUGUUUGCUAUGCUAGGCGGACGUAAUUGAGAGGUUAGGGUU
rnacentral:misc_RNA from 1 species